rnacentral:lncRNA from 1 species
AGCGCCGCCGCCACCGCCAUGGCCGUCGCCAGCGCGCCGCCCGCGCGGGAGGGCGCCAAAGGCUGGGAGGGCGCGGGGCUGCGGGCCGGAAUGGAGGAGGCCCAGCGGCGGCGGCGCUUCUCACGUCAGCCCAACCCGCCCGGCCGCGGCCACCGCCUCAGCACCGUUGCCCCCCACAGCUCCGCCGCUGGCCUCAGCGCCGCCGCGACUCCCUUCAGCCCCGCCACUCGCUCGCCUCAGCCCCGCCGCUCGCUCGCCUCAGCCCCGCGGCCGCCUCAGCCCCGCCGCUCGCCUCAGCCCCGCCGCUCGCCUCAGCCCCGCCGCUCCCCUCAGCCCCGCGGCCGCCUCAGCCCCGCCGCCGCCUGGCUCCCCACGGCCCGGCGUUGUACUCGGCCGCGGCUCCCCCCAGCCCCCGGCGCGCCCCACCUCCCGCCCGCCCUCCGGCCCGCCCCGGCCCGGCACGUCGCCACUUGGCGCGCUCGCAGCCGCCCCCUCCCCGCGGCCCCCGGCCCGGCCCCUCCGCGCGUCACCCUCGUUCCCUCCCUCUCUCCGCGCCCCCGCCGCGCCCCUCCCCGCCCCUCCCGGGGGUCCCCGCCCCGCCCCCUCUCUGCCGGGGGUCGCCCUGCCCGGAGCAGUCGCGCGGAGACUGCGCGGCCUCCGCCUCUACGCGCUCGCGGUCGCCGCUCCUCUCCCGCCUUUGUUCUCGGGUCGCCCCUCUCGCUGGUGGCGCUCCGAGAGAGCAGCGGAGCCACCUGCCCAGGCCACGCUUCCCCGAGCAUCCGCAGCUGCACCCGGGGGCUGUCGGCGCCCGCCCCGGAGCGUGCGGGAGGCACAGCGGGAAGAAGUCGCUGAGAUUCGGCCCUCGUGGCUUUGCGUGCCCGCGUGGUUGAUGCCUCCGCCGAGAACGCGGUCGGCCGGGAGCCGGGGAGGAGCGUGGACGCCGGCCUGGCAGGUACCCCCGCGAGAACGUGGGAGCCGGUGUAUUUCAGCUGCAUUUAUUACUGAUCUCGGGCUGCACCAGGGCACUUGUAGGACCGCACUAAAAACAGCGGAAAGUGAGGAGCCAAGCCUGGGUCCGGGGCGGCCCGCCGUACAGCUGGCCUCACGGAUUCCACUGCCUGCGCCUGCAGAUGACUUGUUCUGGAGAGUAGAGAAUGUUCUCGGAUUUAAAGUACAAUCCGGUUUCCUUUCCAUUCAUUAUAGUUGCCUACACUCAACAAACAAAAGUUGGGAAAGAUAAAGGGAUUAUUCUAGCGCGUCACAUUGACAAACACCGACGUUAACACGCUCAGUCCAGCCUGACUCACUUGCCUCAGGUCAGAGAGGUCACCACUGACGACGCCGGGCCCUCAAGCCGAUCCUAAUCCAGCUUGGUUCUCUCAGCCUCAGCCAGACCAUCCGUUCUUGCCUCUGUCCCACCACGUGCAGGUGUAAGCUUCCGCCGCACUUCUUGUCUGAAUCUGCCAAGAAGAAACUGCAUCUUUCAGCUAAAUUCUUUUCACUGAUCAGGGUAGAGUUUAGCGGUUUUUUUUUUAAGAAAAAAAACAAAAACAAAAAAAAACUCUUAAGCUAUUUGGUACUCCUCUCCCUCCGGGAUUCUGUCUCUAGAUUGUGAAAGCUGUCAGAGAAUGGAGUCAGGGAAAGCCGUGAUGGGAAAGUUCUCACUAAUAAUUGCCUGAUAUAAAGAAUUAGCACAAAAGACUGCCAAAACCACAACCUUGCACAAAGGCCACAAAACUACACAAAAAAAUGCUUCAAGGACAUUUGCGCAGCAACUGCCUGUCCAACCUUGGACUGGCCAUCCCCUUUGUUACUGAUCUUUGUAGCCAAGGAUAAUUGUUUCAAAACAACUUACGUAAUCCUCCUCGUUUUUCCUUUUAAACCCCUUAUCUUCCUUUACCUCCCUGAAUACACCUAUAGUUUACUAUGACACCAUAUUCUACAUUGCAAUGCCCACUUUCAAAUAAAUUUGUCAUGUUUGGCAAACCUGUCUGUUAUUUAGGUUGACAAGAUCAAAUGCAAAUUUAUUCUGGAGUCAACAAAUAACUGAUUCAGUCUUCCAAUGUGCAAGGCAAAGAAGAAUAUUAAGGAGACACUGUAUAGAUUAGAUCCCUGCCUAUAGGCAGCUUCAACACUAAUACAAUAUGGUACGAAUAUAUAAUUGUACUUUAAGGCAGCUUAGGUGGGAAAACAACUAGCAACUAAAAAAAAAAAUGGAGUUUACUACCAACUAAAAAAAAUGGAGGUUUCAAGGUUGACCUAGAAUUUGAAAACUGCUUUAAAGACAGGUAAGAAAGACACAGGUAGAUGUGCAAUGGAAGUAGAAAUUGGGUUUCAAGCCCCAAACAGGCUGAGGGGUGGGAAAAUAGACAUAUUCAGGUACAUCAAUCGUUCCAGUUUGGCAUAAGAAUGAGAUAAAUGAAGAUGGAUUCUAGGAGUUAAGGAUGAAAUAUGUAGGGAGGUACUAUGAUGUAAUGGAGAGAACAAAGAUUUCAAGUUAAGACUUUGGUUUAAAUCCCAGCUGUGCCUCUUAUUAGCUGUGUGAUCAAAGGUAAAUUAGUUAAUCUCUCUGACCCUCCAUUUCCUCAUUUGUAUGAUAACAAUAAUGUCCAAUUAUUCCACAAAUAUUUUAUGGCAAGCCAAGUAUUAACUAAGAACUAUGUUAAAUGAUGAAGAUAUAAAAAAACCAUUUAUUCAUUCAUUCAUCAAAUGAAUGCCUUACUGUUUACUAAGUUACACCCUGAGUUAGGCCCUGGAAAUACUGAUAAGGGGGAAAAAAGCAUGAAACCGUAUGAGACCACUUAGAUUAUGCAGAUAUACGUGAAAAUAAGGCCCAAGACCAAGAAGUCCAAAGGUACUCAACUUGUGGAAGUAAGAUAGAGAAGGAAAAAAAAGAAAACUAAGUGUAAAGUACUGUAAACUGAAAGGAGAGAGUGUUUUAAAAGAGGGACUGGUCAGCUCUCCUAAUGGAGAAGUUAGUAAGGUGGCAGAGAAGAAUACAUUGUAUUUAUCAACCUGGAGGUAAUUAACUGUCUUGACUGUUUCAAGCUAUUUCAGCAAAGUGGUGGUUUCAGAAACUAAAUUAAAGCAGAUUAAGGGAGGAAUGGAAGCCUAGGAAUUGGAGCCAGAGUAUAGACAACUCUUCUGUGUAGUUUUAUUAUAAAAAGUAAUGGAGAAAGAGAGUAUCUGGAGAGGUGGUAGGGAUGUUUUUAAGAUGGAAGACAUUAGCACAUGUUGGUAUACUGAAAAGAAUGACUGAGUAGGAAGGCAGAAAACCAUGAUUGAGCAGAGAGAGGAAAUGCUACUGGAAGGCAGCUUGUGAGAAGGCAAGGAAAAAUGGGCUCCAGAGCACAGGUAUUAGACAGGAAGCAGAAUCCACCCAAUUUAACAGGAAAGACAGAAGGUGGUCGCAGCUGCAAGCAGGUGAGUGGAAAACUUGAAGGUUUGUUUUUUUGUUUUUUUGUUUUUUUUUGAGACAGAGACUCACUCUGUUGCCCAGGUUGGAGUGCAGUGGCCUGAUCUCGGCUCACUGCAAGCUCCACCUCCUGGGUUCACGCCAUUCUCCUGCCUCAGCCUCCCAAGUAGCUGGGACUACAGGUGCCCGCUACCACACCUGGCUAAUUUUUUGUAUUUUUAGUAGAGACGGAGUUUCACCAUGUUAGCCAGGAUGGUCUCGAUCUCCUGACCUCAUGAUCUGCCUGCCUCGGCCUCCCAAAGUGCUGGGAUUACAGGCGUGAGCCACUGCACCCAGCCAACUUGAAGGAUUUUUAUUUCUGAUAUAUUUUCUUUCCUUCAUGAAAUAUAAAGGGAAAAUCAGCUGACAGUUGUGUAGGGGAGAGAGAUACAGAAGAUCUGAGGAAGAAGGAGGUGUGUCAGCAGGAAAGCAAAGUUUCCAGGAUGCCAAGUGUUUUGCCUUCUUGAGAGUUAUGGUCAUGAAUUUAAAGUGAAACUACUCGGUCUGGCUUUGUCAGGUUCUCAGUCAAGUUUACCUACUUGGAUUCAGGCUUGGACAAAGUGGAUAAUGGGGUUCAUUCAGGAAGGGGUUUUCCAGGUGAGGAAGAGGGACAAAGAAAUUGAAGUCUGUUUGUAAAGGAGUGAUUAUAAUGAUGAGCCAUGAUAUCUAAGCUGGACAAGGUAGGAAAUUUGAGGGCUAUAAAUGGUGAAAAAAGCCAAUGAACUGGAGAUUUCAAUAAGAUUAGAGAAUGGCUGUCUUCGGGGUACUAGAGGUGGUGAGCUGGAAGGACAGGAAAUGAUUGCAUGAGAAUAACUUGCUUGAAAUAAAGAUUUCAGAAGUCAUACUAAUAUUGGCGACAGCAAAGUCUAGAGGGGUAAAAGGCAACUGAAUGUGAGUUGGUUAAGGAAUUAGAAAGCAUACAGCCAGUCCUAGCUUGGCAUGGUAGAACAUGACUAGAAAAAUGACCAUGGAAGUUGAAAUUGUGCAAAGUGAUCUUAAUAAUCAAAGAGA